GACGAACGCUGGCGGCGUGCUUAACACAUGCAAGUCGAACGAAGAGAGAUGGAAGCUUGCUUCUAUGGAUCUUAGUGGCGAACGGGUGAGUAACGCGUAAUCAACCUGCCCUUCAGAGGGGGACAACAGUUGGAAACGACUGCUAAUACCGCAUACGAUCCAAUCUCGGCAUCGAGAGUGGAUGAAAGGUGGCCUCUAUUUAUAAGCUAUCACUGAAGGAGGGGAUUGCGUCUGAUUAGCUAGUUGGAGGGGUGACGGCCCACCAAGGCGAUGAUCAGUAGCCGGUCUGAGAGGAUGAACGGCCACAUUGGGACUGAGACACGGCCCAGACUCCUACGGGAGGCAGCAGUGGGGAAUCUUCCGCAAUGGACGAAAGUCUGACGGAGCAACGCCGCGUGAGUGAUGACGGCCUUCGGGUUGUAAAGCUCUGUUAAUCGGGACGAAUGGUUCUUGUGCGAAUAGUGCGAGGAU
rnacentral:rRNA from 1 species